rnacentral:rRNA from 1 species
UACGUAGGGCGCAAGCGUUGUCCGGAAUUAUUGGGCGUAAAGAGCUCGUAGGCGGUUUGUCACGUCUGCUGUGAAAACUCGGGGCUUAACUCCGGGCCUGCAGUGGGUACGGGCAGACUAGAGUGCGGUAGGGGAGACUGGAAUUCCUGGUGUAGCGGUGAAAUGCGCAGAUAUCAGGAGGGACACCGGUGGCGAAGGCGGGUCUCUGGGCCGUAACUGACGCUGAGGAGCGAAAGCGUGGGGAGCAAACAGG